ensembl:snRNA U6 U6 spliceosomal RNA
GUGAUCUCUUUGCCAACAUAUAUACUAAAAUUGGAAUGAUACAGAGAAGGUUAGCAUGGUCACUGGGUAAGGAUGAUACACAUAUUUGUGAAGUGUUCUACAUUUUU